CGGGGGAAAGAGAAUGAGAUAAAAGGGGCGAUCAAGAAGGCUUUGAUCUCACUGUAUUAAUGCUUCCAUUAGUAAGUAAUAACCGAGCACCUCUGACAAGUUCUUCCUUAACCAUGAACAAAACAGCAGCUGCAAGAACACUUUGUGCAAUUUUUGUGCUCAUACCUUUGUAAAAGCCAUAGAACCCUUCAUACUGAAUCAUCUUGAGGAUAGCAUCCAGAGUUCCUUCAUAAUGGUGCUUCUUGUCUACAGUUUUAAGCUGUUUCACUUGAAGCCUCGACUUUACAACAAGAAGAGGAUAUGUUACAACAGUAGCCCCAAGCUUUGC
rnacentral:misc_RNA from 1 species